UGCGAGAUGACCGAGUUGGUUAAGGUGCUAGCUUAAGGAGGACAACUAUUGUGGACCAGUAAUACGCUAGUCUCUUCGGAGGCGCGGGUUCAAAUCCCGUUCUCGUCA
rfam:Sphaeroforma arctica JP610 cont1.6195, whole genome shotgun sequence.